AAAAGAAACUAACCAGGAUUCCCCUAGUAGCGGCGAGCGAAGCGGGAAAAGCCCAAAAUGAAAAGCCAGUUUUUCUGGCGUUGUAGUUGAGCGUCCUUGAGGUGUCAGUCUGGGAAAGUCGCAUGGAAAUGCGUGCCGUGGAGGGUGAGAGCCCCGUCCAUCCCAUUCAGGACACUUCGUACAAGGGCGUUUCAGAUGAGUCGGGUAGCUUGGGAAUGCUGCUCUAAUUGGUGGUAAAUCUCAUCAAAGGCUAAAUAAUGGUGGGAGACCGAUAGCGAACAAGUACCGUGAGGGAAAGAUGACAAGCACUUUGAAAAGAGGGUGAAAAGAGCCUGAAACCGUUACGAGGGAAGCGGAUUGCAUUGGAUUGGAACGGGUGUCUUUGUGUUCAGCCCGUUUUUGGGUGUAUUCACUUUGAUGCUCAACUGUUGUGGGUUCUCGGGAGGCGAUUUUGGUCACCUGGGGGCUGAGGGCUCCCCUUUAUGGGUUGAGGACGACAGUGUGACGAUGCGAUACGACCCGUCUUGAAACACGGACCAAGGAGUCUAGCGCGGUUGCGAGUCGGAGGGUAUUAAAACCCGUGGGCGAAGUGAAAGCGAGUGUAAAAAACAAGCAGUUUGAGGCGGCAUAAAAUCGUUGAUUUUAGGUCUGACCUUGAGCAGUUGCGCUGGGACCCGAAAGAUGGUGAACUAUGCCGGAGUAGGGUGAAGCCAGGGGAAACCCUGGUGGAGGCUCGUAGCGGUGCUGACGUGCAAAUCGCUCGUCGAACUUGGGUAUAGGGGCGAAAGACUAAUCGAACCAUCUAGUAGCUGGUUCCCUCCGAAGUUUCUCUCAGGAUAGCUAGGUGACAAUACGUUGUUUUGUGCGGUAAAGCGAAUGAUUAGCGCACUCGGGGGCGUCAAGCCUCCGGGCGAUUCUCAAACUUUAAAUGCGCAAGGGUACUGGUGCUUUGUUGAGCGGUACCGGCAAAAACGUCACCUGUGUGGGCCACUUUUGGUAAGCAGAACUGGCGAUACGGGAUGAACCGUAAGCAUGGUUAAGGUGCCAAACUGUCCGCUUAUAGAUCCCAAAAAAGGUGUUGGUUCAUCGAGACAGCAGGACGGUGGCCAUGGAAGUCGGAAUCCGCCAAGGAGUGUGUAACAACUCACCUGCCGAAUGAACUAGCCCUGAAAAUGGAUGGCGCUGAAGCGGGCGACCGACACCAUGCCGUCUGGGCAAAUAUAUUGAUUUCGGAUGAGUAGGAGGGCGUGGCGGCCGUGUCGAAGGGCGCAUGCAGAUGCGUCUGGAACGGCCGCUAGUGCAGAUCUUGGUGGUAGUAGCAAAUAUUCAAGCGAGAUCCUUGAAGGGCGAAGCGGGGAAGGGUUCCACGCGAACAUUGAUUGGGCGUGGGUGAGUCGUUCCUAAGCCGAGUGGCGAUUGCUAAGUAGCGGCGAAAGGGAAGUGGGUUGACAUUCCCACACACGGAUGUGGAGGCGGUGACGCUUGUUUGGGGCGAACACGCCGGCGAUGGCGCUGGGCAGAGUUGUCUUUUCUGUUUGACCGCUUAUAGGCGCAGUGUGGAAUCCGCUUGUCGGGAGAAACACGCGUUUACGGGCAGAGCGCCGGGGUUAUUCCGGCGUCCAGCUCGCCAUCGACGGCCCUUGAAACUUUGCCUGCUGAAAACCUUUACUGGUUAGAAAUCCACGCCGUGGCGUACCGAUCACCGCAUCAGGUCCCCGAGGUGAACAGCCUCUGCUCAGUAUGAAAAAUGCAGGUAAGGGAAGUCGGCAAAUUGGACCCGUAACUUUGGGAAAAGGGUUGGCUCUAGUGCUGCGUGGGAGUGGUUGCUGGGUGUUGGCGUAGUCUGGACGGGCUGCGGUGGUGCGGCGUUUUCCCUUCGGGUGAGAAUGCUGUCCACUUCGGUCUGUCUGGCUGCGGCGCGGCCGGCGACGCCCACAGCAUGCAGCAAACUAGAACUGCAACGGGCAAAGGGAAUCCGACUGUUUAAUUAAAACAAAGCAUUGCGAAGGCCGUGGCCGGUGAUGACGCAAUGUGAUUUCUGCUCAGUGCUCUGAAUGUCAAAGUGAAGAGAUUCAAUCAAGCGCGGGUAAACAGCGGGAGUAACUAUGACUCUCUUAAGGUAGCCAAAUGCCUCGUCAUCUAAUUAGUGACGCGCAUGAAUGGAUUAACGAGAUUCCUACUGUCCCUAUCUGCUUCUAGCGAAACCACAGCCGAGGGAACGGGCUCGGCAAAAUCGGCGGGGAAAGAAGACCCUGUUGAGCUUGACUCUAUUCUAAUUUUGUGAAGCAAGUUGGGAGGUGUAGCAUAGGUGGGAGUGCUUGCACGUCCGUGAAAUACCACUACUCCCAGUCUUGCUUUACUUACGGGGUGGGUGUGGAUGGGACUUACGUCCCUAUUUUGGAACCAAGCCCGAUUUGUUUUGGGUGACCACAGCCCCGCACACAUUUAGGAGGGGAGUUUGGCUGGGGCGGUACAUCUUCUACAAGACAACGAAGGUGUCCAAAGAUAAGCUCAGUGAGAACAGAAAUCUCACGUAGCGCAAAAGGGUAAAAGCUUGUUUGAUUUUGAUUUUCAGUGCGAGUCGAAAACGCGAAAGCGUGGCCUAUCGAUCCUUUCACGAUUCGAGAUUUGAAGCGAGAGGUGUCAGAAAAGUUACCACAGGGAUAACUGGCUUGUGGCGGCCAAGCGUUCAUAGCGACGUCGCUUUUUGAUCCU
rnacentral:rRNA from 2 species